UUCGACGCGUUUCGUACCGCUGGCACGAGUUCGGCUGCUUCGUUUCAAAAUGUUUAAUGUAGAACAGCGCUAUGAAAGCAAAUGUUAAAAGACAUUAUGUCAACUUCCGACAAAAGUUCUUCAAUCACUACAGCAGCAUCUGAGCAACUGGUUGGCUCUAAUUGCUUCGUUUUAUUUUUGCGUCUGUCUUUGCACCUUAUCUGUUUGGCACUAUCUGCAGACAUCGUAACACUGUCUGGCUCUUGUUCCGAAAAAACAUUAUCAAAAGAAGGAAAAAAGAAUAUUUAAAGAAGACAAAAAAAUCAUCCAAAUGGAAAAAACUUAACAAAAAAAAACAAUAUCCGAAGAAGAAGGAAAAACAUCCAAAGGGAAAAAAGAAGAACUGAAGGGACAACGAGGUAGGGGGAAAUACAAAUUUCGUUUCGUUGGAGUGCCAAGCUGUGAAAGGCAUUUGGCCAGAAGCCAAGUGCUUCGAGCAGGCAUUUCCUGCUCUGCCCCGUGUGCAAGAAGACACAGCCAAGCCUCUCAGUGCAUCUGGCUAGGGUGUGCAUGAAGAGGUCUUCGAAAGAGGCCAUCCAGGAAGUGAUGGAGAAGGAAAAGCAGAAUUCCCUUGAACUUCUGCAGUGGGGCAGGGUCUUCAGCUACAGGCUGAACUUCAGCUACAUUAUGCCUGUCAAAGUGUGUCAGCUUAGCCAUUUCAGAACCUCUGCUAAAAUCAUCCUAGUAUUUGUAACGACCAUCCAGUGCAGCCAUGUAUUUUUUGACUUGGCCACUAGCACACCUCAUACAGUACAGCUAGUCAAUCUGUCACUGACUUUUUAAACCAGUAUAAUUAAUUAUUUAAUUGAGCUGUUGGUGAAAUUUAACAAAAUCAUGGAACGGCUGAGGUGCCCCUGGGGAGAAGUUUGGGAACUGAAGCGGUGUUCAUCUAGCCAUCCAACUAGAUAUCAGUAACGCUUUAGAAAACAGAAGAAGUUAUUACUAGUUUUUAUUGUGUUACUCUUAAUUUGCACAUGUUCUAAUGUUAAAUUGUGUCAUUUAUUCUAAGUCAAAGUACACUUGCUACCCAGAUAAACAGCUUUAAACAUUUCUUUGGACUGCCUAAGACUUUCACACAGUACUGUAUGUCUUAGAACAUAAGAAAUUUACAAAUUAGAGGAGGCCUUUCGGCCCAUCAAACUCAUUUGGGAAGAACUUAACUAAUAGCUCAGAGUUGUUAAAAUCUUAUCUAGCUCUGAUUUAAUCAUCUCUCUCAAUAUAAUAUUGGGAUAAUUUAUUCUCUUCAGAGGCCUCCAUAGAAUAGUGCAUCCAUCCCCUCACUUAUGUUCAGACAGUCAGAAUAACAACAGCAUCAUCAAUUUCACAGCUAGAUUUAAAAAUUGCUUUAACAUAGAGUGAUUACAGAAAAAAAGGUAAACAAAUAUUAACAAGAUUAUUAAAACGUAAUAGACAUAUUCGUCAUUCAGACAUAUUGCGCUUUUUUAAGAGCAGAAGGGAUACAUUAAAUCAUAUUAUAUUUUGUCCAUAAUAUAUAUAUAUAUUUACAUAUAUAUAUAUGGUGGUGCAGUGGUUAACACUGUUGCCUCACACCUCUGGGACCCAGGUUCGAGUCUCUGCCUGGAUUACAUGUGUGUGGAGUUUGCAUGUUCUCCCCGUGUCCUCGUGGGGUUUCCUCCGGGUACUCCGGUGUACCCCCACAAUCAAAAACAUGCUGAGGCUAAUUGGAGUUACUAAAUUGCCCAUAGGUGUGCAUGUGAGAGUGAAUGGUAUGUGAGUGUGACCUGCGAUGGGCUGGCCCCCCAUCCUAGGUUGUUCCCUGCCUCGUGCCCAUUGGGAACUGGGAUAGGCUCAGGAACCCCAGCGCCCCAGUAGGAUAAGCAGUUUGGAAAAUGGAUGGAUGGAUGGAUAUAUAUAUAUAUUUAUAAUUUUACAUCAUUAUAAAUGAGAACUAUAAGUGAUUGCUAAUUACUGUUAACUAAUGUCCUGUAAUCAGUGGAGGCACACGGACACUUUGGCCAGUUAUCCUAUUUCUUCAGCGCCAGCCCAACACCCAGCACCACAGACAGUGACCUGUGUUACUGUGACAUCUGGUUCCUUCAUUGGCUCUAUUUAUUUUUCUAGAAAUAACUAAUUGGCUCUUCCAGACUAUAUGAAGAGAAUAUUUUAUUUUUAUUUAGACUAAGAAAAGCUCUGCAUGUGAUCUCCCCUUUACUGCUCAAGGAGGGCACACGCACAUCAACAAAUAUCAAUGCAACAAUUACAGAUGAACAAUUUCUCACAGCUUCAGAAGAAGUCAGAGUUCUGUGUAAUUCAGAAAUUGUCUAAGACCUCUGCUAGAACAUUUUCUGCACUUCAAAAUAAAUGACACCUGGGUCCAUUAAAAGAAGGUGAUGCUGCCUGAACCACCAGCCAAGGCUGGGAGGAAAGGGAGGAACACUAGUAAAAUGAAGGAAGAAAAGCAGCCCACCCUAUCUCAUGGUCACGGAUACAAAAGUCAGGGAGUGUUAUGAAGAAGACACCACACUUAAGACCAUGGUUUUAUGCAGUGAAUUACACCAGAGAGAACUUUUGCAUUUUAACUGUGUUACGUAACAUUCCUCAGCCUUCAUUUUUUUCCACAGAAUGCAGGACAUAAUUUACGGUGCCAAACAAAACAGCGGAACUGCAUUGUAGCCAAUUAUUUGUUUCAGUAGUUUUAAGAUAAAUAGAACAUAAAAUGGUUGUUUUACUUAGGUAAAAAUCCAGUUGAAACAGACUUUAUUUUAAAAAAGUUACAUUGGCUUUAAGUGAUGGCACAUGUCGCUUGUGUUAAUACUGCUUUGAUUUUGAGGAUGAAGUGUAGGUGACAUGCAGAAGCAUGCAAUUUGACGUUUGGGGACUGUAGUUUUUAAUGGGACAAUUUGAAUAAGGAAUACUGGUGAUAUGCUUUUUAAGGGGACAGCACACAAAAAUUAUAAUACAGAGUAUUAAAAGAACCGCUCUUUAAAGGAACUGAAUUAUCUUAGUGUAUUUUACAUCACAAGCACUCUCGGUCCGUUGGGGAGUCCGUCCCACUGUACUUGGAGAAUGCUGCCAUGCAUUAAUCAUAAAUUUCAUUCAGUUGUGCGACAGAAGUUUCCUUCUAAUGUUUUCUUCAACAUAACAAAGUCCCACGGUAACAAAAGCGCUGAGGCCAGGAUCGUUAAUUGCAAUGUGGGGAAUGCAGACCAGCUGGGGUGGGGGAUCGUGCUCAGUCACGGUAAAAGGCAAACGGGUAAAUUGUGAAUACGCUCUUAAUCUAACUACAGCUUCUUGAAUUGUGGGAGGCGUGUGUAACAUAACGUUGUUCCACAUACCAAUAUCACUACGUAUCGGUAUCGCAAAACAAAGUUUUAAAUGUUAAGAUUCUGUCAUUCUGAAAAUCUGAGUAUUUAAGACAUUAUGUUACAUAGCGAUUUGUGGAGAUAAAUGCCCUCGGACAGUAGCGUUCAUUUCAUAUUAAGUCUCUUUAAGUCAUUGUUUUAUGUUAUGCAGGAUGAAUGUGCGAAUUUUAAUUAAUCAUCCUUUAAGGGUUAUAUGCUUACGGUGUUGUAUACUAUUCUCGGUGAACAAGUUAACUUAUAAAAGUCUGUUCCUCUAAUUAUAGAAUAAUAUAUAGAAUAAUUAUACAAGAGCUAUAAUUAUUAUGAUGUUAUUAUUUAAUUGUGUGGGCCGUGUUGCUUGAUUACAUUUGACUCUUCGGCACGUGGGACACUGCCGGUUUGAAAGACGCAGCUUCACUUGUUUUCUGCACCAAGAUGACGAGAAACAAACGAAUUGCAAAAGCUGUCAGCUGGAGCAACGAUCGAUACUGGGCAACUUGGGACAAGUGGAUGGAAGUGAUUGACUGGGAAGAUGAGGAAGAGCUGUGCUCCCCAGCAGAAUCACCCUCUGACCAGGCUGACCGUUCCAUCGUGUCACACACCCGAAAGCCAAUUGCCAAGGCAGUUAGCUGGACGGAUGAUGUGUAUUGGGCAGCCUGGGACAAGUGGGAUGAGAUCAUCUGCUGGGGUGAAGAAGGAGAGUGCUCCCCAGCAACUCCACCCAUCAACCAGCCUGGGAGGGAUAAGGGGUUAGACAUGCAUGGGUUAGAGGUUUUUCUGUUAAAUGAAAGGACAGUCUCCAUAAAGCCUGCAGAUGACCACCAAGACAGGCUGAAAAUAGGAGCCGUAGUGGUCGACCUCUGCCAGUUUGAGCUAGAUGGUGUAAAUGAUAAAUUUGAAAUUGUCGAAAUACAAAUUGGAGAGGUCAAAUUGGAGGAGACUGCAGAGAGGGGUUUUAAUUCAGAAUUUGAAUUGGAAAUUAUGGAUGUGGAGAUAGAGGUUGUAGACAGUGAAUUCCAGCUGAAUGCUCUUAAUUGGGAAAUUGCUGGAACUAAAGUGGACAAAUUAUUAGUGGAACACCUGAACAUAAAUAAUCUAGAAGCAGGCAGUGUGAAGGUGUCCACAUCAAAUGGGAAUGUGGUAUAUGUCAAUGGUAUGUGAGUGUGUUUGGUAAUGAUGGGUGUGAAUGGUGUGUGUAAGUGGUGUGUGUGUGUGUGUGUGUGUAUGAGUGGUGAUUGAAUGGUGUGUGUGAGGUAAUGGCGUGUGAGUGAAUGGUGUGUGUGAGUGACAGGUGUGUGAAUGGUGUGUGUGAGGUAAUGGCAUGUGAGUGUGAGUGGUAAUGGCGUGUGUGAGUGAAUGGUGUGUGUGAGUAUAUGGUGUAUGUGAAUGGUCUAUGUGUGUGUGAAUGGUGUGUGAGUGACUGGUGUGUGUCUGGUGUUUAUGAAUGGUGUGUGUGAGUGAAUGCUGUGUGAAUGGUGUUUAUGAAUGGUGUGUGUGUGAGUGAAUGCUGUGUGAGUGACUGGUGUGUGAAUGGUGUUUAUGAAUGGUGUGUGAAUGAAUGGUGAGUUUUUGUGUGUGUGUUUUGUGUGUGUGUGUGUGUGAAUGAUCUGUGUGUGUGAGCCUGCCCUGUGAUGGGUUGGUGUCCCAUCCUGGGUUGUUCCCUGCCUCGUGCCUGUAGCCUCUGGGAUCCAUCUGACCGCCUGUUCCAAAAGGCAAAUUGAUCCCCACAUCCCUGAACAGGAGAAGCGGUUUUAGAAAAUGGAUAAAUGUUCCCAGAGGUGUGAGGCAACAGUGCUAACCACUGUACCAUGCAUAUGUAUAGGAUAUGUAGAAGAAUACCUGUUGCAGUUAUCUGAUGUGUGUGUUUUUCACUCUCCCUGCCGGCCCCUGGAGGUUUGGGCUUCCCCUUUGAGUCUGGUGCCUCCCAAGGUUUCUUCCUUCUAGGGAGUUUUUCCUUGCCACUGUCGCCUAUGGCUUACUCACUGGGGGCUUUGGGUGGGGGUGCUCUAAAGCGCUUUGAGACAAUGUAAUGUUGUGAUAUCGUGCUAUACUUUGUUGUGUAA